GAUGAAGAACGUAGCGAAAUGCGAUAAGUAAUGUGAAUUGCAGAAUUCAGUGAAUCAUCGAAUCUUUGAACGCACAUUGCGCCCGCUAGUAUUCUGGCGGGCAUGCCUGUCCGAGCGUCAUUUCAACCCUCAAGCCCCCGGGCUUGGUGUUGGGGAUCGGCGAGCCUCCGCGCCCGCCGUCCCCUAAAUCUAGUGGCGGUCUCGCUGUAGCUUCCUCUGCGUAGUAGCACACCUCGCACUGGGAAACAGCGCGGCCACGCCGUUAAACCCCCAACUUCUGAACGUUUGACCUCGGAUCAGGUAGGAAUACCCGCUGAACUUAAGCAUAUCAAUAAGUGGAGGA
rnacentral:misc_RNA from 1 species